rnacentral:rRNA from 1 species
UACGUAGGGCGCAAGCGUUAUCCGGAAUUAUUGGGCGUAAAGAGCUCGUAGGCGGUUUGUCGCGUCUGCCGUGAAAGUCCGGGGCUCAACUCCGGAUCUGCGGUGGGUACGGGCAGACUAGAGUGCAGUAGGGGAGACUGGAAUUCCUGGUGUAGCGGUGAAAUGCGCAGAUAUCAGGAGGAACACCGAUGGCGAAGGCAGAUCUCUGGGCCGUAACUGACGCUGAGGAGCGAAAGCGUGGGGAGCAAACAGG